rnacentral:lncRNA from 15 species
AUGAUCUGCUCUGUCUCUCUGUCUGCUUCCUGCUGUCCGGCCCGUUGUGACCUCCGUGUCCUCCCUCGUGCCCUCUGUAUCUUCCAUAGUGUCCUUUUUAUCCAAGAACAGUCACUCCCCUCUCUGGGUGCCAGGUGUAAGUCCUUAUGCUUGAUUAAGGUAUGUCUCCGGUGGGGAAGUAAAACCAACGUAACACAAACACACUUCAAAAUAAAAGCAUGCAAUAAUAAAUAAGACAAAAACACAGCAAAUUCAAAGUAAAAGCAUGCUUAAAUAAAAUCAAACUUCCCCCCGUGACAUUUGCAUGUGACCAUUAAUUUUUUACUUUCUUUAAGGAACUUUUCAGCAAUUUUGGACACACCCAGUAUUUAAAAAAAAGUUCUGAUGUAAAGUUUUGCAGUUUUUGCCUCAGCCCCGCGAGCACUGCAACCCGCUGUCUUUCCAAUGUUAUGUCUCUUGUUGUGGCUAUGAUCAGAACAUGAUGCAAGGCAGGGCGGUGAGUGAGAAACAUGUGGCUGGUGGCUCGGCUUUGCCUGGGGAGAGGGACCUCACCUUGAUUGUUGCUGAUGAGGGCUGACUUCACUCGAGGCACUCAGACACCAAGCUGUUUUCCAGCCCAGAGAAGAUAGAAGGCACAUGACGAGAUUUUCUUGAACUGAUAAGACAGGAAAGAUGUCCCAUGAUUUCAGAGAAAAAUGCACACAAGUAGGCUAUGUACUGUAUGUGCAACUUUCAGCAAUGAGUCGCUGACACAAAGCAUGAAUACAGAUGUUCUGAGGACCAAACCAAAGCUUCAUGGUAAUCUUCACAAUGUAAGUAUGUUAGCCUGACAGUGGUAAAAUUAAAAUCAUCAAGUGUGCUCACGCUAACAGACAAUAAUUAUUACCUUCUGUCUUAUUAUACAUCUGUCCCAGUACAUCACUGGAAUUCACCCACUUCAUUUUAAGGGCGGCUUUAAUGCUUGGAUGGGAAUUGAUUCUUUUCUUGGAAGCCAUGCCGGAUUUAUUCUUCCAAUUCAGACAGGCAGAGGCAAGAUAUGGACUGCUGCUCAGUACUUCAGAGGAGAGAGGU